rnacentral:rRNA from 1 species
UAAUACGAACUGUGCGAACGUUAUUCGGAAUCACUGGGCUUAAAGGGUGCGUAGGCGGCUUCCUAAGUAGGGUGUGAAAGCCCCCGGCUCAACCGGGGAACUGCGCUCUAAACUGGGUGGCUCGAGUGAGAUAGGGGUGUGUGGAACUUCCGGUGGAGCGGUGAAAUGUGUUGAUAUCGGAAGGAACGCCGGUAGCGAAAGCGACACACUGGGUCUCAACUGACGCUGAGGCACGAAAGCCAGGGGAGUGAACGGGAUUAGAUACCCCGGUAAUCCUGGCUGUAAACGCUGAGCACUGGUGGGGAGGGGCUUCGGUUCUUUCCCACGUAGCAAAAGUGUUAAGUGCUCCGCCUGGGGAGUAUGGUCGCAAGGCUG